GAUGAACGCUGGCGGCGUGCUUAACACAUGCAAGUCGAACGGAAAGGCCUCUGCUUGCAGGGGUACUCGAGUGGCGAACGGGUGAGUAACACGUGGGUGAUCUGCCCUGCACUUCGGGAUAAGCCUGGGAAACUGGGUCUAAUACCGGAUAGGACAAUGGUUUGGAUGCUGUUGUGGAAAGUUUUUCGGUGUGGGAUGAGCUCGCGGCCUAUCAGCUUGUUGGUGGGGUAAUGGCCUACCAAGGCGUCGACGGGUAGCCGGCCUGAGAGGGUGUACGGCCACAGUGGGACUGAGAUACGGCCCAGACUCCGACGGGAGGCAGCAGUGGGGAAUAUUGCACAAUGGGCGCAAGCCUGAUGCAGCGACGCCGCGUGGGGGAUGACGGCCUUCGGGUUGUAAACUCCUUUCGCUAGGGACGAAGCGUUUUUGUGACGGUACCUGGAGAAGAAGCACCGGCUAACUACGUG
rnacentral:rRNA from 1 species